GACGAACGCUGGCGGCGUGCCUAAUACAUGCAAGUUGAGCGAUGAAGAUUGGUGCUUGCACCAAUUUGAAGAGCAGCGAACGGGUGAGUAACGCGUGGGGAAUCUGCCUUUGAGCGGGGGACAACAUUUGGAAACGAAUGCUAAUACCGCAUAACAACUUUAAACAUAAGUUUUAAGUUUGAAAGAUGCAAUUGCAUCACUCAAAGAUGAUCCCGCGUUGUAUUAGCUAGUUGGUGAGGUAAAGGCUCACCAAGGCGAUGAUACAUAGCCGACCUGAGAGGGUGAUCGGCCACCUUGGGACUGAGACACGGCCCAAACUCCUACGGGAGGCAGCAGUAGGGAAUCUUCGGCAAUGGACGAAAGUCUGACCGAGCAACGCCGCGUGAGUGAAGAAGGUUUUCGGAUCGUAAAACUCGGUUGGUAGAGAAGAACGUUGGUGAGAGUGGAAAGCUCAUCAAGUGACGGUAACUACCCAGAAAGGGACGGCUAACUACGUG
rnacentral:rRNA from 1 species